UACGAAGGGGGCUAGCGUUGCUCGGAAUUACUGGGCGUAAAGCGUGCGCAGGCGGCUGCUCAAGUCAGGGGUGAAAGCCCAGAGCUCAACUCUGGAAUUGCCUUUGAGACUGAGUGGCUUGAGUACGGGAGAGGUGAGGUGGAAUUCCCGGUGUAGCGGUGAAAUGCGCAGAUAUCAGGAGGAACACCGGUGGCGAAGGCGGUUCUCUGGGCAUGUCCUGACGCUGAGGAGCGAAAGUGUGGGGAGCGAACAGG
rnacentral:rRNA from 1 species